GACGAACGCUGGCGGCGUGCUUAACACAUGCAAGUCGAACGGAAAGGCCCUGCUUUUGUGGGGUGCUCGAGUGGCGAACGGGUGAGUAACACGUGAGUAACCUGCCCUUGACUUUGGGAUAACUUCAGGAAACUGGGGCUAAUACCGGAUAGGAGCUCCUGCUGCAUGGUGGGGGUUGGAAAGUUUCGGCGGGUGGGGAUGGACUCGCGGCUUAUCAGCUUGUUGGUGGGGUAGUGGCUUACCAAGGCUUUGACGGGUAGCCGGCAUGAGAGGGUGACCGGCCACAUUGGGACUGAGAUACGGACCAGACUCCAACGGGAGGCAGCAGUGGCGAAUAUUGCACAAUGGGCGGAAGCCUGAUGCAGCAACGCCGCGUUCGGGAUGACGGCCUUCGGGUUGUAAACCGCUUUAGCCUGUGACGAAGCGUGAGUGACGGUAAUGGGUAAAGAAGCACCGGCUAACUACGUG
rnacentral:rRNA from 1 species